rnacentral:rRNA from 1 species
GAUGAACGCUGGCGGCACGCCUAACACAUGCAAGUCGAACGAGAACAGCAGCUUCGGGGGUGUAUAAAGUGGUGAACGGCGGAGAAACACGUGUGGAUCCUGCCCCACUCAUUGGGAUAGGCACUGAAAACGGUGGAUAUUACCGGAUACUUCGGUUCUUGCGCAUGGAUGGCUCGGGAAAGGUCCGGCGGGGUGGGAUGGGACCGCGGCCUGUUGGCUUCGUGGUGGGGUUAGGGACUACCAAGGCAAUGAUGGGUAGCUGGGCUGAGAGGCCGACCAGCCAGAUUGGGACUGAGACACGGCACAGACUCCUACGGGAGGCAGCAGUGCGGAAUCGUGCACAAUGGGAGAAAGCAUGAUGCAGCGACGCCGUGUGCGGGAUGAAGGCCUUCGGGUAGUAAACCGCUUUUCGCAGGGACGAGGUGAAAGUGACGGUACCUGCAGAAGAAGCCCCGGCUAACUCCGUG